rnacentral:rRNA from 1 species
GACGAACGCUGGCGGCGUGCUUAACACAUGCAAGUCGAGCGGUAAGGCCCUUUCGGGGGUACACGAGCGGCGAACGGGUGAGUAACACGUGGGUGACCUGCCCUCAGCUCUGGGAGUAAGCCUGGGAAACCGGGUCUAAUACUGGAUAUGACUCCAUGACGCAUGGUUGUGGGGUGGAAAGCCUUGUGCGGCUGAGGAUGGGCCCGCGGCCUAUCAGCUUGUUGGUGGGGUGANGGCCUACCAAGGCGACGACGGGUAGCCGGCCUGAGAGGGCGACCGGCCACACUGGGACUGAGACACGGCCCAGACUCCUACGGGAGGCAGCAGUGGGGAAUCUUGCGCAAUGGGCGAAAGCCUGACGCAGCGACGCCGCGUGAGGGAUGACGGCCU